GGGGAAUAUUGGGCAAUGGGGGAAACCCUGACCCAGCAACGCCGCGUGAAGGAAGAAGGCUUUCGGGUUGUAAACUUCUUUGACGAGGGACGAAGGAAGACGGUACCUCGAAAACAAGCCACGGCUAACUACGUGCCAGCAGCCGCGGUAAUACGUAGGUGGCAAGCGUUGUCCGGAUUUACUGGGUGUAAAGGGCGCGUAGGCGGGAUAGCAAGUCAGAUGUGAAAUGUAUGGGCUUAACCCAUGAACUGCAUUUGAAACUGUAAUUCUUGAGUAUCGGAGAGGCAGGCGGAAUUCCUAGUGUAGCGGUGAAAUGCGUAGAUAUUAGGAGGAACACCAGUGGCGAAGGCGGCCUGCUGGACGAAGACUGACGCUGAGGCGCGAAAGCGUGGGGAGCAAAC
rnacentral:rRNA from 1 species